UACGUAGUGGGCAAGCGUUAUCCGGAUUUACUGGGUGUAAAGGGAGCGUAGACGGCCAUUCAAGCCAGAUGUGAAAGCCCGGGGCUCAACCCCGGGACUGCAUUUGGAACUGUAUGGCUGGAGUGUCGGAGAGGCAGGCGGAAUUCCUAGUGUAGCGGUGAAAUGCGUAGAUAUUAGGAGGAACACCAGUGGCGAAGGCGGCCUGCUGGACGAUGACUGACGUUGAGGCUCGAAAGCGUGGGGAGCAAACAGG
rnacentral:rRNA from 1 species